AGACCACCAUAUUGAAGGAACCUA
rnacentral:siRNA from 1 species